rnacentral:rRNA from 1 species
GUGGAUUAGAUACCCUGGUAGUCCACACUGUAAACGAUGGAUACUAGGUGUGGGAGGUAUCGACCCCUUCCGUGCCGGAGUUAACACAAUAAGUAUCCCACCUGGGGAGUACGACCGCAAGGUUGAAACUCAAAGGAAUUGACGGGGGCCCGCACAAGCAGUGGAGUAUGUGGUUUAAUUCGAAGCAACGCGAAGAACCUUACCAGGGCUUGACAUCCCAAUGACCGCUCUAGAGAUAGAGCUUCUCUUCGGAGCAUUGGUGACAGGUGGUGCACGGUCGUCGACAGCU